rnacentral:misc_RNA from 1 species
GAUGAAGAACGCAGCAAAAUGCGAUACUUGGUGUGAAUUGCAGAAUCCCGUGAACCAUCGAGUUUUUGAACGCAAGUUGCGCCCGAAGCCUUUUGGCCGAGGGCACGUCUGCCUGGGCGUCACGCAUCGCGUCGCCCCCCACAAUUCUCCGUAAAGGGAACAUGUGUUUUGGGGGCGGAUAUUGGUCUCCCGUGCUCAUGGCGUGGUUGGCCGAAAUAGGAGUCCUUUCGAUGGGCGCACGAACUAGUGGUGGUCGUAAAAACCCUCGUCUUUUGUUUCGUGCUGUUGCUCGCAAGGUAAACUCUUUAAAAACCCCAAUGUGUCGUCUCUUGACGACGCUUCGACCGCGACCCCAGGUCAGGCGGGACUACCCGCUGAGUUUAAGCAUAUCAAUAAGCGGAGGA